GGUUCAGGACGAACGCUGGCGGCGUGCCUAAUACAUGCAAGUCGAACGGUCUUUCUAUGGAAGCUUGCUUCCACUGAAAAGAUAGUGGCGAACGGGUGAGUAACACGUGGGUAACCUGCCCAUAAGAGGGGGGAUAACAUCCGGAAACGGGUGCUAAUACCGCAUAGUUUUCUUGAUCGCAUGAUCGGGAAAGGAAAGACGGCCUUUGUGCUGUCGCUUAUGGAUGGACCCGCGGCGUAUUAGUUAGUUGGUGAGGUAACGGCUCACCAAGACGAUGAUACGUAGCCGACCUGAGAGGGUGAUCGGCCACAUUGGGACUGAGACACGGCCCAAACUCCUACGGGAGGCAGCAGUAGGGAAUCUUCCGCAAUGGACGAAAGUCUGACGGAGCAACGCCGCGUGAGUGAAAGAAGGUUUUCGGAUCGUAAAACUCUGUUGUCAGAGAAGAACAAGUUGGAGAGUAACUGCUCCAGCCUUGACGGUAUCUGACCAGAAAGCCACGGCUAACUACGUGCCAGCCGCCGC
rnacentral:rRNA from 1 species